rnacentral:lncRNA from 1 species
GUCGCCUACGGAUUCCUCAGUCCCAUUACUUCUACAUCACCAAUGUUUAAUUUGAGUGGAGAAUUUUAAAUUUUAAAUUUCUAUUAGAAAGCAAAACUUGGAAGUUCUUGAAACUGAAUUUCAUCUUUCAAAGAGUAUCAAAAACAUAGUGGUUGGGAAUUGAAGGAUAAGGAAUUUCUAAUGCAUUUAUUUUCAAAGAACUUGUUGGGGAAGUAAGCCUUUUUCCCGACCAGUAUAGCUUGACCACUGGACGAGGAGAUUAUUUACCAUUUUCAUUGACUAGCUCGAUGAAGGAAAAGCAUAGAGGUCAAAGAACCCUAGAAUAACCACGACUUAAGGAGAAAUAUGAUCUCAGAUAUCAGCCGAUCUCGAGCUUGGAUGCUGGCCGACCAUAGAAUCGACCUACCAGAAGGAUCGACUACUUUGGAUUUAGUCAAGAUCCCACUUUGACUGUGUACCGACCAAGUCAUCGAGACCUCUUUCCCCUUUUAAUGAUGAGAUCCGGAUCCCCAAGGAUGAGUCACAGGGGGUGAAUCUCAAGUUAGAAUCUUUCUAAAGCUUCCAUGAACACCCAUGAUAUCACCAGCAGCCACUUAAAACCUCGACACAGAGAUGUGGGUUCGCCCAGGCCAAGUAUGAUGCCACAUUGAAGAGCUGGCUCAAUUAGUGGUAUAUGACUGACCAACCUUGGAAAGCAACGAUGACUUAGUUGCUUGGUGGAUAACCGAAACUGAUUGUUUAUUCAAAGAUCUUGGGACUGUUUCUCCUAUUUACAUACACAUAGGCUUAACCGUCACAUGUAAUUCUCGCAGAUAACGUGUAACUCCCAACUGUACCUGACAUGCAUAAUAGGUGCCUCACUAUCUCCAGUAGGUAUAGAUUUUUCAGACUCAUUACCGAGCUUGAUGGUAAUGGGUAGCUACUCCCCCUCUAUAUAAAUGGGGGCGAAGGAAAACUUCAGGUAAAUAAUUCACACUCUAUGAAAACAGAGCCCAAGUUUUACUAUUUUUUCUACUCUCUACUUUUUUGAUUGUUGAAGUAUCGACUAACUUAAGCAUCGGAGAAUCCUUGAACCAAAAAUCUCCAGGGACUAGAUUUUUUCGCAGGUCUUCCUGAAAAAGGAGCACUCCACCUCUAAUGAAAGCUAUCUUUACAUCAGUAGACGAUCGAUAUCCACCUCGGUACAAGACUGAGCCUAGCCACAGCG